rfam:Salmo salar isolate Sally breed double haploid chromosome ssa20, whole genome shotgun sequence.
UGCAUUCACUACUGUAAAUCGCUCUGGAUAAGAGCGUCUGCAAAAUGACUAAAA